ensembl:snoRNA SNORD15 Small nucleolar RNA SNORD15
CCUCUGUGAAGAUACGAUGACGAGUCGGAUGCGAACUUUGUUAGUCGCCAGGCGGCCGCUUCAGAUCGCGUCCUGCGAUUCUGCUUCGACUUCCUGCGGCCUGACAAAGUUUUCGACCUGCUGAAGACGCUGAGGCAUUUGUCUGAGAGGG